GGCCUCCGGGUGCUUACCACAGUCUGUGUUCUUACACCUACUGUAUUGAAAGAGGAGACAGAGUAAACCUACCCCAUUUACACUCAGCCCAGAUCCUGUGCCUGGUCUGUAUUGUGAAUGGGGAAACAGAG